rnacentral:rRNA from 1 species
GCCGGCGGCAGGCCUAAUACAUGCAAGUCGAACGGUAACAGGAGAAGCUUGCUUCUCUGCUGACGAGUGGCGGACGGGUGAGUAAGAUCUGGGAAACUGCCCGACAGAGGGGGACAACAGAUGGAAACGUCUGCUGAUACCGCAUAUACCCUGAGGGGGAAAGCAGCGAUGCGCUGUCGGAUGUGCCCAGAGGGGAUUAGCCUGUAGGUGAGGUAAGAGCUCACCUAAGCUGCGAUCUCUAGCUGGUCUGAGAGGAUGACCAGCCACAUCAGGACUGAGACACGGCCCGGACUCCUACGGGAGGCAGCAGUAGGGAAUAUUGCACAAUGGGGGAAACCCUGAUGCAGCCAUGCCGCGUGUGUGAAGAAGGCCUUCGGGUUGUAAAGCACUUUCAGAGGGGAGGAAACAAUGACGUUACCCUCAGAAGAAGCACCGGCUGACUCCGUGCCAGCAGCCGCGGUAAUACGGAGGGUGCGAGCGUUAAUCGGAAUAACUGGGCGUAAAGGGCAUGCAGGCGGGACGGUAAGUAAGGUGUGAAAUACCGGGGCUUAACCUCGGGGCUGCAUUUUAAACUGCCGUUCUUGAGUAUUGCAGGGAGAGACGGAAUUCCUGGUGUAGCGGUGGAAUGCGUAGAGAUCAGGAAGAACACCGGAGGCGAAGGCGGUCUCUUGGGCAAAUACUGACGCUGAGAUGCGAAAGCGCGGGAAGCAAACAGGAUUAGAUACCCUGGUAGUCCGCGCCGUAAACGAUGUCGAUUGGGAGUCCGAACUUAGGUUUGGGUUCCGGAGCAAACGCGUUAAAUCGACCGCCUG